GAUUCAUUGGCUCUUAUUUAUUUUCUUCUUUUUAUUUCUCUUUUGAGCAUGCUUUUUUUCCAACCUCAAUUCUUCUAGAUAAGUGCUUCAUGAUACUUCUCAUAAUUUUUUCAUUUCUCUUUCUUUUUUUUUCUUUGAAGUUUCGUGGCUUUUCUCAUUUUUCUGCACUUAUCUACUCUUCAUCGGUGUCCCAAAAUUUUGAUGAAA
rnacentral:lncRNA from 1 species